rnacentral:rRNA from 2 species
AGUGGCGGACGGGUGAGUAACACGUGGGUAACCUGCCCUAAAGUGGGGGAUAACAUUUGGAAACAGAUGCUAAUACCGCAUAAAACCUAACACCGCAUGGUGUAGGGUUGAAAGAUGGUUUCGGCUAUCACUUUAGGAUGGACCCGCGGUGCAUUAGUUAGUUGGUGAGGUAAAGGCUCACCAAGACCGUGAUGCAUAGCCGACCUGAGAGGGUAAUCGGCCACACUGGGACUGAGACACGGCCCAGACUCCUACGGGAGGCAGCAGUAGGGAAUCUUCCACAAUGGACGAAAGUCUGAUGGAGCAACGCCGCGUGAGUGAAGAAGGUUUUCGGAUCGUAAAACUCUGUUGUUGGAGAAGAAUGUAUCUGAUAGUAACUGAUCAGGUAGUGACGGUAUCCAACCAGAAAGCCACGGCUAACUACGUGCCAGCAGCCGCGGUAAUACGUAGGUGGCAAGCGUUGUCCGGAUUUAUUGGGCGUAAAGCGAGCGCAGGCGGUUUCUUAAGUCUGAUGUGAAAGCCUUCGGCUCAACCGAAGAAGUGCAUCGGAAACUGGGAAACUUGAGUGCAGAAGAGGACAGUGGAACUCCAUGUGUAGCGGUGAAAUGCGUAGAUAUAUGGAAGAACACCAGUGGCGAAGGCGGCUGUCUGGUCUGUAACUGACGCUGAGGCUCGAAAGCAUGGGUAGCAAACAGGAUUAGAUACCCUGGUAGUCCAUGCCGUAAACGAUGAGUGCUAGGUGUUGGAGGGUUUCCGCCCUUCAGUGCCGCAGCUAACGCAUUAAGCACUCCGCCUGGGGAGUACGACCGCAAGGUUGAAACUCAAAGGAAUUGACGGGGGCCCGCACAAGCGGUGGAGCAUGUGGUUUAAUUCGAAGCAACGCGAAGAACCUUACCAGGUCUUGACAUCCUUUGACCACUCUAGAGAUAGAGCUUUCCCUUCGGGGACAAAGUGACAGGUGGUGCAUGGUUGUCGUCAGCUCGUGUCGUGAGAUGUUGGGUUAAGUCCCGCAACGAGCGCAACCCUUAUUACUAGUUGCCAGCAUUUAGUUGGGCACUCUAGUGAGACUGCCGGUGACAAACCGGAGGAAGGUGGGGACGACGUCAAAUCAUCAUGCCCCUUAUGACCUGGGCUACACACGUGCUACAAUGGAUGGUACAACGAGUUGCGAGACCGCGAGGUUUAGCUAAUCUCUUAAAACCAUUCUCAGUUCGGAUUGUAGGCUGCAACUCGCCUACAUGAAGCCGGAAUCGCUAGUAAUCGCGGAUCAGCAUGCCGCGGUGAAUACGUUCCCGGGCCUUGUACACACCGCCCGUCACACCAUGAGAGUUUGUAACACCCAAAGCCGGUGA